rnacentral:lncRNA from 12 species
CUGGAUUUCCCGACCUCUGUCAGCCUACAUAUUGAGGUGCUCAGGAGUCACAGGAACAACAGCGAGUUUGAAUAUCAUUCUGAAGGGAACGUUGCCAUUGAUGACAAUAAUUACCAUGCUAAUGCAGCAAUAACAGUAUCCCCUUUUGGAAACAUUAGCAGUUCUAUCAGCCUGAAGGCAAAUGAAAAAAAUGCAACACUUCAUUUUACUCUAGACAACAAGGUGGCAAAGGGCAUUACUACUGUGUGCGUCCAUGCUGGCUUUCAUCAGACCUUAUUCCCAGGGGUCACUUCUGACGGUCAUAUUCAUUUAGCUGCUAAUUCUUCUUCAGAAAGGUAAACUGAUAACAGCAGUUCUAUCUUAGUGUGGGAUGAUAUAUUCACUGUGCUACAUCAUCUACAACAUCUAUCUUUUUUCUUUUUCUCCAGUGUUUUCUUGCAGUGUACAGUUAAAAAGGAAGAGGAGACGUUUAAUGCUCACUUUAGUGGAACUUUACCAGAUGAUCAAGACUGGCGAAUAUCUCUUUCAGCAGAUAUUUUCAAUUCAAUACAAGAUCUUGCUGCUUUACCUAAUUCAGCUAGUUUAGUUGGAGUACUAACCCAGUCAAAGGGUCUAACUGAAGGUAAAUCCAAGAGCAAUGUGCUGAUGCAUUAACUCAUUGUGCAAAUUCACUUUUCAGUGAAAAAAGUUUCAGAAAGUUCAAUAUCUUUCAGGGAGGUCGACUUACGAUUAAUUAAAACAAAAUUAAAACCAAAAAUUUGAGUAGAAUUCAAGUUUAUGUAUUCAUUGCAUUACACAUUGGGCUAAGUAAGUUCACCACGCAAAUACAGCAUUUAAUUGAAUGUGUGGUUAGUGCUUGCUACUUUCAUGUUGUUGUGUGUUUGUGGUGCAGGAGAGCUCACUGUAGUAGUGGAUGAUGCUGUAUAUGGGCUGGAAGUGACUGAGUCUCUGUGUGUAAACAUCAACAGUAAUUUAACACAUUGUGGGUGCAGAAGUCUUCAUACCCAGCUGUCUCACUCUUUCCCUUGGCUUCGUUCUGCAGGGCUUCCGCUGAACAGCAGCGCAGGUGUGUAUUUGUACUGGAAUGGCAGCAGUGUCUGUGCCCAACUGACGCUGCAUGCAGGGGCCAGCGGCCCGACAGCUACACUGGAACAGAGUUCUCACCACAUCUCACAAACUACUGGAUGCUCUCAGGUGAACUGCACAGAGGGGAUUGACACGGGCCACCUGCUGGGCGUCUGCUCUGGGCAUGACCAGGAAGACUCACUGAAGGUUGGAAUCAGAGCCGGUCUUUAUAACUCCCAGAGGUCAGCUUUCUCAUUUGAUCUUCAAGGUCACCAGGAUAUCUCCAGCAUUGGACUAAUGGUGAACAUUUCCCACAACAUAUCUGCUUUGCAUACAUACCUGCCAUCUGAGUUUCACUUAAAAUCACAGUUGAGCCACACACGCUCUUCAGUAAAAGGUACUGCAGAACUUCUGGUCGGUGUGAGCGGUUUGGCUUUUGAAGCAGAGAUCUCGAGUACAAACUCUGGCUUUAAACAAGUGCUGAUGUUCAAUCACUCAAUACCUCAGCUACACUUGUUGCCCAGGAAUCUGGCAUUGAGGACACGCUACGGUGGAAAAAGAGGGUCACACACUCUCACGCAUCGAGCACAGUGGGAGAAUCAGGAUUUAACACAGACCGAUGGUGUCACACAGUUACAAAGUUAUCCAGAACUGUCAGGAAAGACUCAGGGUUGGGGUUUGGAUCUUAGGGUAGAGAAUGACAUUCAGAAGAAACUAGGUGAUCUGAGUGUCGACUGGAUUCUGUUUGGAGGCCAUGAUCAGGUCAGAGUUCAAGGCUCUUGGACUUUGGUGAGCAGAAAAACUGAUUCAUUAGAACAGAAACAACCCUUUAUCUCAACACUGACUCACUUUCACAUACAUUCCCUGUCUCACGGACCUGGCCAAAGGCACGACAGCAACAACCAGGCCCAUAUUUCUUGGGAGCACGGAAAGCCUAUAAAUGUUUCUGUAACAGUGAGCGAGCACUGGCACGAUGACUUAAGCAGAGGACAGGCCUGUAUCUUUCUCUCAUCAGGACAGAUACAGUCGUUGCUCCCCCUAGUGGAGAUGGAGGGAUGUGUUGCUGUAGCUCAAGAGGGGAAGGCCUACUCCCAAAACACAGAGCUCAAAUGGAAGGACAAGAGGAUAACUCAAAGCAUGAAAUACCAGGAAGGAGUAAAAGGAAUGCACACACUCCUUGUGGAGGUGGGGGCCCAAAACGUCUCUCCGUCUCCAUGUCCAUCUCACUCUCUUCUGACCCAGAUACACACCAACCUGAGGGACCGUCUUGAACACCAUGUUCAGAUCGGCCUCUGUCCUCCACAGCCUGCUUUAAUUUGGUCUGGAUCUCACAGAGUGAACUCAGGCAAGGAGCUGCUGUACACUCACACCCGUGUGUCUGUGUCCGGACACCCUCAGCACAACACCUUCACAAUGACGCUCAGAAACAUCAGCAGCAGUCAGCGCUCCAACUACUCACUGAUCACAGAGGUACUCACACUGCUACUCAUCAUGAGAUUACCCUCAAAUUGUUGGUGAAGAACUUUUGAAGAAAGUUGUAGUUAUUUCUAUUGUGUAGAAAAUAUAAUUAGCUUAUUAUG